rnacentral:misc_RNA from 1 species
UGCUUAGCAGGGCUCGCCGUUGGCGCUUGAGAGGAAGUAUUUGUUACCAUAACUGAUCCAUAGGGCGGCAUACUUUGCUCCUCUGCUUCCAAAGUUUGCUGCUCUAUGGGAAGACUCAAUUUCCUACACCGUCUUUUAUUACACUCCAGCACUAUUAGAGAAAGAUCACUGUCAUUUGAAUUUGGGACUUAAGAGGGUUGCCCUUGUUGGUGCUCAUCUUUUCUUUGCUCGCACUUUAGGUGGUUUUCUCAAUUUCUG